UGAAGACUUUCAUCGAGAAGACGCUUUAAAUAAUGCAAUUAAUCAGAGAAAAUUUCUUUUCGAAGCAGUUCUUAAUGAUUAUAUUCCGCCAGAAUUCAUAAAAUUAUAGUUUUCAAAGUGCGAUUAUGCACUUUUAGGUAAAAUUAAUGUUCAACAACGAUGUGUGUUAUAACUGUUCAAUUGUUUCUCCUUUAGAGAGAUCUAUAUAUGUUUCCGUGUGCAUUUUUUUCAAUGAACACACGGAAUAGAGUGUGGUAGACAAAUCGUGCUGGAUUUCACACUGUGCUAAAUGCCGUUUGUUCAUACAUAUAUUUAAUAACUUUUUCCUGUAGAUGUUAUGCAUAAAAUUAUUACCUACAGUAAAUUAAAAUAUUUAUCUAGUUUCUUGUAAUUUGGAGGUUACAAUCUAUCUUCGAAUGUGAACCACUACUUACUAUGCUUGUUUUCAGAUGUUGCUGAGUUGGGCGUAUUAUUAGACGGAAAUGAUAGUGAUAAUUGCGUCACGAAUUGGACUACAUUGCCUGCUACUGACGCCAUUUAAUAUUAUGUCACAUCUGAUGUCACUUCCAUAUCAGACACGGGCGAAAUGUGUACAUCUAGCGUGUUUUCAAAGUAGAACUUUCUUUUACAAUUUUGGUGAGGAUAAUUCUUGGAACUACAUUCAAUUGAAAGGAGUGGUUUAUCUAAUUCAAAGAAUACAUGCUAUAUUUGAAUCAUGAAUAUGAUAACGGUUAUUAACAACGCAUUUUUUUUUUUCAAAUUACUGUCAUAAUUUGUGCCUGAAUGUCAUCGUAAGUAAUCAUGCGGUUGUUCAAUCAUAGACACAGAACCCAAAUGAUGUUGUAUGCCGAUGUCGGUGCAAAAAUUAAUUGAAAAGUGAUUAUUUUAUAAAAUGGAAACAUUGGGAUUCAGAAUUCAGUUAACAUGGAAUUGGCAAGUUGCAUGUAAAUUUUUCUCAUAGCUGAUCACUCCACUGUAACAAACCUAUAUUAUCAACACAUAUAAAUGCAUAUUUCGGAUUGGUACUUGAAAGUCAAUGGUUGAUGAACUUGAUCAUGAUGACAAUCUUUUAUUUAAUGGAGAAAGAAACUAAUAUUUGCCGCUGGACAGGCUAUCACCACAGUUCAAUGAUUUAGGUCAGACAUCAACUUUUGAAGUUGCUUUCUUGGCACAUCAUGCUGUCCAGUGGAGUUCAUACGAUAUGUCAGGCCUUUAUACAUGGUCAAAGAAGAUGAAUUUGUUAUUCAAUUUGUGAAAUUUGAUUAAACGAGGACUUUUAUAUAUGAUGAUUAUAUUCAGCAGAUUAUUAUAAGUGUGCACUUUAUAGAAUCACAGUUUCUAGGGGGUUUCCAGUUUAAAGUUACAUUAAUUGAAAAUAAGGAGAGCUAUCAUACUCACCAUGGCAUCGGCAUUGGCGUUACACCAGGUUUAAGUUUUUCUUACAAGUCCAUAUUUUAAAAGGACCGUUUGAAAUAUACUUUUGAAACUUACAACAGUAAUGUAUUAUCAUUAUACCAAGUUUUAGGCAAGAGUACAUAACUCCAUCAAGGAUUUGACUGAACUAUGGCCCUUUGAAAAUUGUGUCACUUGUUUAUUAUAAUAGUCUCUAUAUAUAGGCAAGAGUUCAUAACACUAUAGAGUAUUUUGGAUGAAUUAUGUCCCUUUUGGACUUUGAAAUUGGUUCAGUUUUUGUACAAGUCCACAUUUUGACAAAACAUUUUGACAUAUAGCUUUGAAUCUUCAACACUUAGUCUUACCAUUACAAUAAUAUAACUUAAAAUAGUUGUUCAACAUCAUCACCCACAUCAUAUGACACAAGAUGCAUAACCCUUGCACCAAAAUUUAAUGAAUUAUGACCUUUUUUGCUUAAAAUGUACUUGUAUAGUGUUUUGAUACACUUUAUCUUUAUCUCUCAUAUUACUUAAUAUUUUUAAAACAGACUUAGUUAUUACGCAAUAUCUUCAUCCGCCAUUGGAGUCAUUAAACACAACAGUGACAGCUCCAGUGUUCUCAGAUUUGCCCAGGCUCACUAUCCAGCAUCGAAAUAGUCGAGCGUGCUAACUGAGACAAUCAGGUAGAUAACUAUGGACAUAUUUUAUGUCAAAUCACCUCCCUUUAUUUCAAAUUGAAAUGGAUACAUCAGUGUAACUAAUGAAGAUACUGAUCUUACAUUUCAUUUAUGCCAUCAGAUUGACUUGGAUAGUCAGUGAAGAUACAUAUUGACUGAAUUUAUGACAAAAGUACCUCCCUUUAUUUUUUAUGUAAAUGAAUAUACUUAGCAGCUUCUAAUGAAAUAGGUUUGAAAGGUUAUUUAUGUCCAUGGUAAGAUAUAGUCAUGUUAGAUAACUCUUGAUUGAAUGUUUAUAGAUAUGAAUACUUUUCUUAUAUAUUGUUGUAAAACUUGUAUAGUGUAUCUUCUACAUGCAUAUAAAAAUGGAUUUAUCUCAGUAAGUAUAUAUAGGACUCAUUUGAAAUUUCAUUAUUGUCAUUAGUUGGACAGAGACAAUUAUUGUAGAUUAUAUCGACCGAUUUUAUGUCAAGUUACAUCCCUUCGUUUCUUGUUAAAAUAGGUGUAUCUCAGUAACCAAUGAAGAUACUGAUUUGAAGUGCCAUUUAUGCCAUAAGAUGGACUCGGACAAUCAGGGUAGAUAACUUUUGACUGAAUUUAUGACAAAUAACCUCCCUUUGUUUUAUGUAAAUGAUUAUGUAUCUCAGUAGCAUCUAAUGAGAUUGCUUUAAAAUGUUAUGUAAGUCUUUCAGGGUAAGAAAUAGUCAUGCUAGUACAAAAAUGCAUCAUUUGAGCCUAGAACCCUCAAACAUGAUAUGGAGAUUGGCCCUGACUAGUAUGUGACCCAUAGGUCAAAAGGGACUGUUACAAUGAACUUUUUUAUCCUGAUGACAUUUAAUGUGUAGCACUCUCGUUUAAAGUAUUUUUGAUUUAUUAGGAAAACAGCAGUGUUGGACAGAACUGGAUGAAAAGUACAUUGUUAGAACUUCAAAUAUGCAACAUAAUGGUGAAUAUAGGUAAAUUUAUAAAUUCUCACGACAGGAUGUGUGGGUUAGUGGCAAAUUUGUGCAAAUUCUGUACAUAGAUUUAUAACCUUUAUCUGCUGAGAAUUUUUUCCCUUAAAUGAUGGAUAUUUCUUUAAUAUUGAAAUAAUUUUGCAUCUGUGCUUCUAUGGCAUUAAUAGGAAAGACACGUUAUUAUACAUUAUACAUUUUAACAGUUGGUGUUUAGCUCCUAUAAUUUGUUGAUUUAUUAAUAAU